UACGAAGGGGGCGAGCGUUGUUCGGAAUUACUGGGCGUAAAGGGCGCGUAGGCGGCCGGCCAAGUCAGGCGUGAAAGCCCCGGGCUCAACCCGGGAGGCGCGCUUGAGACUGGUCGGCUCGAGGUCGGGAGAGGAUGGCGGAAUUCCCAGUGUAGAGGUGAAAUUCGUAGAUAUUGGGAAGAACACCGGUGGCGAAGGCGGCCAUCUGGACCGCACCUGACGCUGAGGCGCGAAAGCGUGGGGAGCAAACAGG
rnacentral:rRNA from 1 species